rnacentral:rRNA from 1 species
UACAGAGGUGGCAAGCGUUGUUCGGAAUUACUGGGCGUAAAGGGCGCGUAGGCGGUCUUGUAAGUCUUGUGUGAAAUCCCUCGGCUUAACUGAGGAACUGCACGGGAUACUGCGAGACUUGAGAUCGGGAGAGGGGAGCGGAAUUCCGGGUGUAGCGGUGAAAUGCGUAGAUAUCUGGAGGAACACCGGUGGCGAAGGCGGCAUCCUGGACCAACACUGACGCUGAGGAGCGAAAGCCAGGGGAGCAAACGGG